GAUGAACGCUGGCGGCGUGCCUAAUACAUGCAAGUAGAACGCUGAAGCUUGGUGCUUGCACCGAGCGGAUGAGUUGCGAACGGGUGAGUAACGCGUAGGUAACCUGCCUCUUAGCGGGGGAUAACUAUUGGAAACGAUAGCUAAUACCGCAUAAAAGUCGAUAUCGCAUGAUAUUGAUUUGAAAGGUGCAAAUGCAUCACUAAGAGAUGGACCUGCGUUGUAUUAGCUAGUUGGUGAGGUAACGGCUCACCAAGGCGACGAUACAUAGCCGACCUGAGAGGGUGAUCGGCCACACUGGGACUGAGACACGGCCCAGACUCCUACGGGAGGCAGCAGUAGGGAAUCUUCGGCAAUGGGGGCAACCCUGACCGAGCAAUGCCGCGUGAGUGAAGAAGGUUUUCGGAUCGUAAAGCUCUGUUGUAAGAGAAGAACGAGUGUGAGAGUGGAAAGUUCACACUGUGACGGUAACUUACCAGAAAGGGACGGCUAACUACGUG
rnacentral:rRNA from 1 species